rnacentral:misc_RNA from 1 species
AAGGAUCAUUACCGAGUGCGGGUUCCAACGAGCCCAACCUCCCACCCGUGUUUACCAUGACCGCGUUGCCUCGGCGGGCCCACUGGGGCCUGGCCCCGGUCGCCGGGGGGCUUCUGCCCCCGGGUCCGCGCCCGCCGAAGCGCCCUGGAACCCUGUCUGAAUAGUGAGUCUGAGUCUAUGAUUAAAUCAUUAAAACUUUCAACAACGGAUCUCUUGGUUCCG